CAGCCGCCACGGUAAUACGUAGGGUGCAAGCGUUAAUCGGAAUUACUGGGCGUAAAGCGUGCGCAGGCGGUUAUAUAAGACAGAUGUGAAAUCCCCGGGCUCAACCUGGGAACUGCAUUUGUGACUGUAUAGCUAGAGUACGGCAGAGGGGGAUGGAAUUCCGCGUGUAGCAGUGAAAUGCGUAGAUAUGCGGAGGAACACCGAUGGCGAAGGCAAUCCCCUGGGCCUGUACUGACGCUCAUGCACGAAAGCGUGGGGAGCAAACAGGAUUAGAUACCCGCGUAGUCCCUGUCUCUUAUAA
rnacentral:rRNA from 1 species